rnacentral:rRNA from 1 species
AGUGAACGCUGGCGGCAGGCCUAAUACAUGCAAGUCGAACGGCAGCACAGCAGAGCUUGCUCUGUGGGUGGCGAGUGGCGGACGGGUGAGGAAUACAUGGGAAUCUGCCCAGUCGUGGGGAUAACGUAGGGAAACUUACGCUAAUACCGCAUGCGCCCUUCGGGGGAAAGCCGGGGACCUUCGGGCCUGGCGCGAUUGGAUGAGCCCAUGUCGGAUUAGCUAGUUGGCGGGGUAAUGGCCCACCAAGGCGACGAUCCGUAGCUGGUCUGAGAGGAUGAUCAGCCACACUGGAACUGAGACACGGUCCAGACUCCUACGGGAGGCAGCAGUAGGGAAUAUUGGACAAUGGGCGCAAGCCUGAUCCAGCCAUGCCGCGUGAGUGAAGAAGGCCCUCGGGUUGUAAAGCUCUUUUGUCCGGAAAGAAAAGACGCCGGGUUAAUACCCUGGUGUCCUGACGGUACCGAAGAAUAAGCACCGGCUAACUCGUGCCAGCAGCCGCGGUAA